rnacentral:rRNA from 1 species
GACGAACGCGGGCGGCGUGCCUAAUACAUGCAAGUAGAACGCUGAAGGAGGAGCUUGCUCUUCUGGAUGAGUUGCGAACGGGUGAGUAACGCGUAGGUAACCUGCCUGGUAGCGGGGGAUAACUAUUGGAAACGAUAGCUAAUACCGCAUAACAUUGACUAUUGCAUGAUAGUCAAUUGAAAGGUGCAAAUGCACCACUACCAGAUGGACCUGCGUUGUAUUAGCUAGUUGGUGGGGUAACGGCUCACCAAGGCGACGAUACAUAGCCGACCUGAGAGGGUGAUCGGCCACACUGGGAUGAGACACGGCCCAGACUCCUACGGGAGGCAGCAGUAGGGAAUCUUCGGCAAUGGACGGAAGUCUGACCGAGCAGCGCCGCGUGAGUGAAGAAGGUUUUCGGAUCGUAAAGCUCUGUUGUAAGAGAAGAACGAGUGUGAGAGUGGAAA